rnacentral:rRNA from 1 species
GACGAUCCUCACAAACGUUAUUCGGAAUUACUGGGCUUAAAGGGUGCGUAGGCGGUGCGGAAAGUUGGGUGUGAAAUCCCUCGGCUCAACCGAGGAACUGCGCCCAAAACUACCGCACUCGAGGAAGAUAGAGGUGAGCGGAACUUACGGUGGAGCGGUGAAAUGCGUUGAUAUCGUAAGGAACACCCGUGGCGAAAGCGGCUCACUGGGUCUUUUCUGACGCUGAUGCACGAAAGCUAGGGGAGCAGACGGG